UACGUAGGGUGCAGGCGUUAAUCGGAAUUACUGGGCGUAAAGCGUGCGCAGGCGGCUCCUUAAGUCAGAUGUGAAAUCCCCGGGCUUAACCUGGGAACUGCGUUUGAAACUGAGGAGCUCGAGUGUGGAAGAGGGGGGUGGAAUUCCAGGUGUAGCAGUGAAAUGCGUAGAGAUCUGGAGGAACACCGAUGGCGAAGGCAGCCCCCUGGGCUAACACUGACGCUCAUGCACGAAAGCGUGGGGAGCAAACAGG
rnacentral:rRNA from 1 species